rnacentral:rRNA from 1 species
GUCUAUAGCCACAUCACCCUGGAUGUAUCCGACCUCAUCCGACCUCAAAAGCUAAGCACAGCUAGACCUGGAUAGUACUUGGAUGGAAGAAGUACUGGGGAAUAAUCC